rnacentral:rRNA from 1 species
GACGAACGCUGGCGGCGUGCUUAACACAUGCAAGUCGAACGGUAACGCCCUGCUUGGUUGUGGUGCUCGAGUGGCGAGCGAGUGAGUAACACGAGAGUACCCUGCCGUUGACUUUGAGAUAACGAAAGGAAACUGGGUAUAACACCGGAUAGGAGCUCCAGCGCGGGGGUGGGGGUUGGAAAGUUUCGGCGGGUGGAGAUGGACUCGCGGCUUAUCAGCUUGUUGGUGGGGGAGGUGAUGACCAAGGAGGUGAAGGGUAGCCGGCAUGAGAGGGUGAACGGCCACCUUGGGACUGAGAUACGGCCCAGACGCCUACGGGAGGCAGCAGUGGGGAAUAUGGCACAAUGGGCGGAAGCCUGAGGAAGCGACGCCGCGUGUGGGAUGAGGGUCUGUGCGGUGUAAACCGGUUCUGGCUGAGACGAAGCGUGAGUGACGGUACCGGAUGAAUAAGCACCGGCUAACUACGUG